rnacentral:rRNA from 1 species
AGAAUCAACGCUGGCGGCGUGCCUAACACAUGCAAGUCGAACGAGAAAGUGGAGCAAUCCAUGAGUAAAGUGGCGCACGGGUGAGUAACACGUGACUAACCUACCCUUGAGUGGGGAAUAACUGAGGGAAACCUUCGCUAAUACCGCAUAACACCUACGGGUCAAAGGAGCAAUUCGCUUAAGGAGGGGGGUCGCGGCAGAUUAGCUAGUUGGCGGGGUAAUGGCCCACCAAGGCAGUGAUCUGUAUCC